GGUAGAACGGUGUGAAAAUGGCGGCACCUUCUUGAAUGGACGGUGUCGAUGUCCUAUGGAGUUCGCAGGAGAGACCUGCCAACGACGAAUCAGAGACUGCAAAGAAGCUUUCGACAAUGGCUAUUUCGUUACGUAUCCCGGACGAACACUACUCAUUCAGCCUGUAGGUACUUCGACGCCUUUCUGGAUAAACUGUGCCCUUGACUGGGGCGGCGUUGGUUACCCCUUGAAGAGAAGCUACAUCAACUCCUUCAACGUCAGCUGGGCGACAGCUAAGACGGGAUCGGCGACAACCUGUCGGUGAAGAACUCAUCUGAAGACUACUUCAUCGGCCUGGAGAACCUCUACCACUUGCUGCGUCAAGCGAAUUAUUACGCCAACUUGUACAUCCGGUACACUUUCAACCAAUCCAUAAGUAUCGGGAGGAUAACCUACGGUAACUUUGUUAUCGGUCCCGAAAGUGCUAAUUACUCUCUUACAUAUACUGGGGCCUGGCCGUCAUCCCCAGAGCCUGCGGGAAAUGGCUUCAUUGGAGCGCAACCUUUGCCUUUUUUCACCUACGAUCACAACACAGAUUCCUGUAAGAAGGGAUACCCUGGUUGGUUUAGUGCCAACUGCACUGGGUACAGUUUCUUUGCUGACAAGAUAGUGUGGCUGAUAAAUGGUUCAGCAACAAAUAUUGACUACAUAAACAUGGCAGUGGGCAGGUCCUCAAAUAUUACUGAAAUUUGAUUGGUCCUCCUGGUUCUCUGGUUGGUUCCAUCGUCUUUUUUGCCCGCCUUCAUAUCUAACCAGCCUAUUUGUCUGUUUUUGUAGGUGAACAUCUCCUGGUAACUUUGUUUGUGAAAAUAAAAUUAAUAUUUUUGUCGUCUAAUAAUUGAUUUAGGGACAACAAUUUUGUCAAAAGGAACAAAUUUUAUUUUCAGCAGCUUCCUGCUUGCUUGUUCGAUUGCUUAUAGAUUGUAAUUUGUGUAUUAUUUUCUUUUAAGUUGAGGAUUUCCUUCGUGAAUCUUGGCGCUAGCAACGCGAGCUAAAUCUCACAUGUUUUUCGGAAAUUGUCUUUAUUGAGGUAACUUUACCUUUUCAGAGGCUCAUAGAGAGUUUCUUGGCCGUCGGGCUUCUCGGAUGCGUGUACCGCGACAUAGGGGUGAAAGUAGGGGCUGGGGAAUAAUAGCAGUGAGUAGCUCGUCAGUGAAUGGACCAUGUUCUACCAUUGAAAACUGUGUUAUCAUCGUGCUAAAUGACUUUUAAAAAAAUCAGCAUCAUCAUCAAUCAAUGAUCAAUCAAUCAUCAGCAAUAAUAAAAAUAAUAUUUUAAUACACGAUUACCGAAGGGCAGUACUUACAUUUGUAGUGUUUCGUUGUCUAAGCCCCAUCAACAAUAUCGUGAUAUAAUCUUAGUUGCUGGCACAGCGUAAAACACAACCAACCCAGCAACAAUAUAUGUAUAUACGCCUUUAGGCGAUUGCUGUGUGCUUUGUAGAAAGAAUGCGUGAGUGUGUGCGUGUGUUGUACAUCAUCACCACUUUAGGGUUCUAACACAGUGGUUCUUAUCCAACUAGCGUCUUACCCAUUUUUACCCGUGAUAAAAUUGCCGAUGUUAAUCUAUAGAGCUUUGUAGAAUAUCUGAUUUUUGUGCAAAAUGUUGAUUACCGACAACGAUGUAUAAAUUUAUAGCUAAUUUUAUGAAUUAUCAUUGCGAAAUUAAAUUUCCUACUAUAAGUAUUGUAUUUGUAUUAUAUCUAGAAGUAGGUGAAUAUUUUUUUCUAUUAAUCUCGUAACCAUUCGGUUGAUUAAAUUUAAAUUCUGUCUCCAGUGAGCUUCAACACUAAUUCAUCUUUUUGCAUUUGAAAUCCUGUAUAUAUGUUGCCUCUUGUGUAAGCGUGGUAUGAUGAAGAAUUCCUAAGUACAGAAGAGUUUGAAUGCUUUGUUUUUUCCCCUUUCCUUCAUUAAAGUGCUGCGUAUAUCUCACUGUCAUUCCAAGUUAUCAACUUUGCCGCUACCCCUGUAAGCAUAAUUGUGUUUAGAAAUCUGCUUCGUCUGGACCUAAGACUGCGCAGUGUGAGGGAGCCCAUGAUGUUUGUUAGUUGCGGAUAUUCUACUUAGUUUCAUAAUGAAGCUAUUGAGUAUGAAAAACUAGUAAUUGUAUUUUAGGUGAAAGAUCAACUCUGUGUGAUCCUUUUAGAUUAUGUUCGUGUCGAAAAAAGAAUGUGCUUCAAUUGGCCUUGUCAGAUAAGCGAAUUGUAGGCAUAUGUCCAUAAUCAGCAUUUUUAAGCAGAUAGUUUUGAUGUUUAAACGCAUUUUUAGCCGCACUUUAUACCAUGUCGAAAUGCAUUUUAUUCACAAUAAUUUUAAAUUAUUACUGUGACAGAAGAACAAUAAAAUAUUUA
rnacentral:lncRNA from 1 species